GUUUUCUCAACUUCUUUCCUUUUUUAUUGAUUCUGGUAAAUUAACUAUUAUUUUUUGAUUAAUUGUUACUUGUGAAAGUUAAUUUCAUGUUCUAUUACUUGUUAUACUAGUAGUUGUUCAUUAUUAACCGAUAAAUUGGUUAGAAAAAGUUGUAGGCUUUACUUAAACAUUAUAAUCAUCAUCAUCAACAACAACAUCAUCACAACAUUGACAGCGGACAUAGAUGAGGAAGACGAGAUCAUCAUUAUCUUUUUUCCCCUCCUUUGGUAAAGCAAAAAAACAGGUAAGUAAAAACAAAGGUAACAUAAGGCUCACUUCAUCCUUUAACUCACUUUAGGAUCAAUUUUUAACAUCAUCAUCAUCAACAUCAACAACAACAACUACAUAAUAAUAAUAACUAUUAACGUAAUCAUCAUCAACACAUUUUACAUUCUCUCACCUUCAAUGGAUUAUACUUAUUACCAUUUUAGAUUUUAUAUGUAAAUUCGAUGUUCUUCAACUGAUUGAUUGCCAUUGAUGCUAUUAUUAUCUACAUACACCUAAUACGUUGGUCUAUUUCCAGCUCUCUUCACAUGAUAACGAUUAUAAACCGUUUGGUGAUGAAGAUGAUUGUAUUAGGAUGAUAAUGUUUAUUGACAUUGACCAAUGUAAAAUGUGAUUGUAUUAUUAUAUCAUGAUUGUUAUUUGUUGAAGUUAACUCAGUAGGAAGUUGAUAUAAUAUCAUGAUAAACAAAAAUGAUUCACAAUUGAUGACGAGGAAAAUAAACUAAGCCUGAAAAUCAAAAGCAUAAAAUUAAAAUGGAGAAGCAUAAAAAGAGGAGAGACGAUUUAGUUCUGAGUUGCCAACUUAAAUGUUUGGACAUUUUGGUUUGACACUUUUUUUCUUGAAUUGUUACUGGACAAUAACUGAAGAUGAUACUUGAAGAAAAGAUGAUGGUGAUGACGAAGGAAACAUAUUAAAGUGAAGGAUGAUAUUGAUGAUGUAAAAGCACAGAAAAGACCAUCAUCCAGAUCUCCUUUCAUUUUAAUCAUCAUGAUGAUGUUUCUUUCUUGAUGCUUUCCUCCGAUUCUUAUGAUUUCGACUGAGACAGAAGAUGAAGAAGACAGAAAACAAGGAAACAUUUUGAAGAGAUCAAUGUUAUGAUGAUAAGAAAGAAACAACGAGAGAGAGAGAGAGAGAGAGAGAGAGAGAGAGAGAGAGAGAGAGAGAGAGAGUCAAGUGGACUGGACAAUGUUGAUAUAAUAUAAUAAAUAUACUGAAACAGUAACAAAAAAAUCUCAUGAAGAUAAA